rnacentral:rRNA from 1 species
GAUGAACGCUGACAGAAUGCUUAACACAUGCAAGUCUACUUGAUUCUACUUCGGUAGUUGAUGGUGGCGGACGGGUGAGUAACGCGUAAAGAAUCUGCCCUUUAGUUUGGGAUAACCUUUGGAAACGAAGGCUAAUACCGGAUAUUAUGGAGACGUCGCAUGGCGACUCCAUGAAAGCUAUAUGCGCUAGAGGAGGACUUUGCGUCCCAUUAGUUAGUUGGUGAGGUAAUGGCUCACCAAGACCGCGAUGGGUAGCCGGCCUGAGAGGGUGAUCGGCCACAAGGGAACUGAGACACGGGCCUUACUCCUACGGGAGGAAGCAGUGGGGAAUAUUGGACAAUGGGCCACAAGCCUGAUCCAGCAAUUCUGUGUGCACGAUGAAGGUCUUCGGAUUGUAAAGUGCUUUCAGUAGGGAAGAAAAAAAUGACGGUACCUACAGAAGAAGCGACGGCUAAAUAUGUGCCAGCCGCCGCCGUAACAC